CUUUGACCCCAACUUGCAGCUUGAACAACCUAGCUAGCUAGCUGGGGAGAUUCAACAGCAUGCAGAGGCUAAUCUACAGGCAAAGGAACUAUAGUUAAACACUUUUCACAGGUGGACUAUGUGGACUCGUCUCGUAACCAGGUGGUCCUCAAGAUGAUCCCUUGUAUCGACUACACCCGCAAGAGGGGGUGCUCCGUAGCUCCGAUGAGGAGGGCAGAAAAAGAAGAGGACGACCAUCAACCAAGCUCUUCGACCCAGAGGACAUUAGUAGUCAGGAACGUACUGGUAUGAUUUCAUCUAGUGGAAGAACCCCUCGUUUGGAGCCAAGACCCCAUGGUUCCGGGGCAGUAUGGCCCCCAUGCACAGCUCUCAAACACCUGCAUGCACGACAGUGAGUUGGGGGGAGGGUAUAUAUGUCACACUUUUUAAUUUGUUUUUUUGCGAUGUACCUCUUGCGUUUAGAGAUCACUUACAAAGAGAGAGAGUAUCGAACGUAGGCAUACUGUGCAUCAGAUGUAUGCGGAGAGUAACGUGACUUCCUGUAUCUGUCACAAGCUUGGAA